AUUGAACGCUGGCGGCAUGCCUUACACAUGCAAGUCGAACGGCAGCACAGGUGCUUGCACCUGGUGGCGAGUGGCGAACGGGUGAGUAAUACAUCGGAACAUGUCCUGUAGUGGGGGAUGGCCCGGCGAAAGCCGGAUUAAUACCGCAUACGAUCUACGGAUGAAAGCGGGGGACCUUCGGGCCUCGCGCUAUAGGGUUGGCCGAUGGCUGAUUAGCUAGUUGGUGGGGUAAAGGCCUACCAAGGCGACGAUCAGUAGCUGGUCUGAGAGGACGACCAGCCACACUGGGACUGAGACACGGCCCAGACUCCUACGGGAGGCAGCAGUGGGGAAUUUUGGACAAUGGGCGAAAGCCUGAUCCAGCAAUGCCGCGUGUGUGAAGAAGGCCUUCGGGUUGUAAAGCACUUUUGUCCGGAAAGAAAUCCUUGGCCCUAAUACGGUCGGGGGAUGACGGUACCGGAAGAAUAAGCACCGGCUAACUACGUG
rnacentral:rRNA from 1 species